rnacentral:misc_RNA from 1 species
AUAUAUAUAUAUAUAUAUUUCAGUAGAAUUCUUCUAGAUUAGAUGGUAUGCUCACCUUCUUAGCCCAGUCCUGCUCAACCUUAGGAAGUUAGAAGGUUUUCACAGUUAUUAAUUGUUCCUAACUGUUAUUUAACUAGAUGAAACCGCAGUAGGCAUUGUGCUGUGAUCUCAAUAAGCAAGGCUUAUAUGACUACGUAGCAUAGUAGAGAGAGAAGCUCAAACUGCGUAGCUUAUGAUAAAAGUGGAAGGAAUAAAUGGCAACGAAAAAAGUGAGUCCAACCAUGUAGAUUGGAUGGCCAUGGUCUGUGGACUGUUGAGUAUGUUGGGCUAUCCUCCUAUUGUGCCUCGCGUGGACCAGGUCAUUAAUGGCAUAUUGAACAUUAAGUACAUCUCUUACAUAAAUGACCAAAAGGUCCCAAACUGAUCGUGGUAUUUCUAUUCCCCAACCAAAACUUACUGUAUAACUAUGAUAAUAUAUCAUGAAAACGUGGUAGGUAGGUAGAUAGGAUGACAGAUUCGCCAUUCUUUCACCUUUUGUUGCAAACUAAAAACUCUUUGAGCUCCACUUAACAAAGCAAAAUGGGCUGGAGCUUCAUCAUGCUAUCUCUCCAUUCUCCACUCCACCUACAAUAUAAGGAUCUCUAAUGGCCCAAUCUUGGACAAAUAGUGUGUCAGAUGAUUGUUGCCUAAUGUCAAAACCCAUUUGUCCAUUUUCUUUAUUUAUUAGACCACUGCAUAGAAAAGCACUCGAGGACUGACAGAGAAAUGAACAAAGAACUUACCUGGGAACCGCCUGAAAAGGCAAG